GACGAACGCUGGCGGCGUGCUUAACACAUGCAAGUCGAACGGGUGGUCAGUUGGAAAGACUUCGGUUUGGAAGAUUGACUUACUAGUGGCGAACGGGUGAGUAACACGUGAGUAACCUGCCCUAAAGAGGGGAAUAACAACGAGAAAUCGUUGCUAAUACCGCAUAAGACCACAGUAUCGCAUGGUACAGGGGUCAAAGAUUUAUCGCUUUAGGAUGGACUCGCGUCCCAUUAGCUAGUUGGUAGGGUAACGGCCUACCAAGGCGACGAUGGGUAGCCGAGCUGAGAGGCUGAUCGGCCACACUGGGACUGAGACACGGCCCAGACUCCUACGGGAGGCAGCAGUGGGGAAUAUUGGGCAAUGGGCGCAAGCCUGACCCAGCAACGCCGCGUGAAGGAAGAAGGCUAUAUGGUUGUAAACUUCUGUUGUAAGGGACGAAGGACGUGACGGUACCUUACGAGGAAGCCCCGGCUAACUACGUGCCAGCCGCCGCCGUAAUAC
rnacentral:rRNA from 1 species